rnacentral:rRNA from 1 species
CCUACGGGCGGCAGCAGUGGGGAAUAUUGCACAAUGGGGGAAACCCUGAUGCAGCGACGCCGCGUGAGUGAAGAAGUAUCUCGGUACGUAAAGCUCUAUCAGCAGGAAAGAAAAUGACGGUACCUGACUACGAAGCCCCGGCUAACUACGUGCCAGCAGCCGCGGUAAAUAGUAGGGGGCAAGAGUGAUCCGGAUUUAAUGGGUGUAAAGGGAGCUUAGACGGCGCUGCAAGUCCGGAGUGAAAGCACAUGGCUUAACCAUGGUACUGCUCUGGAAACUGUAGAGCUGGAGGGCGGUAGGGGCAGGCGGAAUUCCGAGUGUAGCGGUGAAAUGCGUAGAGAGUAGGAGGAACACCGGCGGCGAAGGAGGGCUGCUGGACCGUAACUGACGUUGAGGCUCGAAAGCGUGGGGAGCAAACAGGAUUAGAUACCCUUGUAGUC